rnacentral:lncRNA from 1 species
GCGCGUGUGAGUGAGUGUGAGCGAGUGUGUUGGUGCAUUUGUCUUUGGGGGCCGGGGCCGCGGCGCUGGGGAAAUUCCGUUCCUUAUUCUUCUUGGGCAACUUGUUAUUCUGAAGAGGAGAACUUACCUAGGUGCACGUUACAGAGGUGUCAGAGGGUAACAAGAUUUCAUGGACCUGGAGGUAAAGAACUUUUGAGAAAAGACGUCUCCAUGGGCCUACGGAAGCCUCAGUGGUGAAGUGGUCCUAUUUUUCCCACUUACUACAUUGUCCUCGCUCCUGCCAUCCUGGACUCAUCCAUGUGGGUAACUGCCACGAAGAUAGAUGCCCACUCGCCUUGUGUGGACAGCUCUCAGUUCUGCCCAGUAGGAGGUGCUGCAACGACAGAAGGCCAUUUCUUCUGCUGAAUUUUGAGCUUGGCCUUACCACUCGUGUUCGGCAUCUGGGCCAAAGGAGUGACAGGUUAACAUUCAGCUCAGAGUUCCAGGAGUGCCUUCAGGGGACCAGAGAGCUGAAAGAAAGCUGGCUUUUCUGAAAGUUGCUGCAGUGAGAAGACAUUUAUCAUUUUGAAUAAAGACUGAAGAAACUGUAGAAUUAGCA